GUCAGAGUUGUUUCAGAUGAUCAGACGUCAAAAGAAUGUCUUAAGCAACUGAACCAGGAAAUAAAUUUGCUUAGUCAGCUUUCACAUCCAAACAUUGUUCGAUAUUAUGGAAGUGAACUGAGUGAAGAAACACUUUCAGUUUAUUUAGAGUAUGUCUCUGGUGGCUCAAUUCACAAAUUACUUCAAGAAUAUGGUGCCUU
rnacentral:misc_RNA from 1 species